rnacentral:ncRNA from 30 species
UAUAAUGGUCACGGAUCAAAAUCAAAGUUAGAUAGUUUAAAGCUUGAGAAAACGGGAACGCUGUGUAAAUCAGCGACUGUGCCGCAACGGUAAAGUCCGACACCUUUCUCUUGCCUUACCCCGAGC